AGAUGUGAGGGCGAUCUGGCUGUGACAUCUGUCACCCCAUUGUUCCUCAGGGUUUAUUUGGCUGAUCUGGCUGGCUAGGCUGGUGUCCCCUUUCUCCCUCACCACUCCAUGUGCAUCCCUCCGGAAGCUGAGCACUAGGUGGAAGAGGACGGCCUUCCCUAAAUAGAGACAGACAGGUCUUCCCUCAAGGGUAAAGGAGUAGCUGUGCUCCCCUGCUAGAACCUCCAAAUAAGCUCUCAAGGUCCUUUUCAUUCCUCUAAUUCCCCAAAUUCUUUCAUAUCAUCUUAAUUUGCAUGUGUGUCUUUUACUAUGUUA
ensembl:misc_RNA 7SK 7SK RNA